rnacentral:rRNA from 1 species
GCUAAUGUGAGGCGAGCAGCAGUCGGAAUACAGGGGGUGGAAGCGUUGGUGUGAAGUUUUGGGCGUAAAACGGGUGUAGGCGGCUGGUCAAGUCGGGUGCGAAAGCCCUCAGCCCAACUGAGGAAGUGCGCCCGAAACUGCAGGGAUUGAAUACCGGAUAGGAGGGCGGAAUGCCCCAAGUAGAGGGGAAAUUCGUAGAGAUGGGGAGGAACACCGGUGGCGAAGGCGGCCAUCUGGACGGCUAUUGACGCUGAGACGCGAAAGCGUGGGGAGCAAACAGGAUUAGAUACCCUGGUAGUC